rnacentral:lncRNA from 1 species
GUGGUGACCAACGUGAUUGACAAGUAACCUAAACCUACCGAGCAACCCAAGGUGAGUUCACAACUUAAAAGCAUGCGUCCCGGUGGUUUGGGACACGAGACUAACAACCCUAUCCCCUGGUAACCAAUGAUUCAGGAGCUGCUACUUGGGGAAGUGUAGUGUUCGUCAAACCCGUGUGUUGGGAUAACUGUUUUGAUCAAUGAACUGUCUUUAAAACUAUUUUGGUUUAUGCUUCCGCUGUUUUGUUAAACUAAUUACCGAAUCUAAACUCUAAUGUUG